UACGGAGGGGGCUAGCGUUGUUCGGAAUUACUGGGCGUAAAGCGCACGUAGGCGGCCUGUUAUGUCGGGUGUGAAAUCCCUCGGCUUAACCGAGGAAGUGCAUUCGAAACUGGCAGGCUUGAAUACUCAAGAGGGUCUCGGAAUUCCCGGUGUAGAGGUGAAAUUCGUAGAUAUCGGGAGGAACACCAGUGGCGAAGGCGGAGACCUGGGGAGAUAUUGACGCUGAGGUGCGAAAGCGUGGGGAGCAAACAGG
rnacentral:rRNA from 1 species